AGAGUUUGAUCCUGGCUCAGGAUGAACGCUGGCGGCGUGCCUAAUACAUGCAAGUCGAACGCUUCACUUCGGUGAAGAGUGGCGAACGGGUGAGUAAUACAUAAGUAACCUGGCAUCUACAGGGGGAUAACUGAUGGAAACGUCAGCUAAGACCGCAUAGGUGUAGAGAUCGCAUGAACUCUAUAUGAAAAGUGCUACGGGACUGGUAGAUGAUGGACUUAUGGCGCAUUAGCUGGUUGGUAGGGUAACGGCCUACCAAGGCGACGAUGCGUAGCCGACCUGAGAGGGUGACCGGCCACACUGGGACUGAGACACGGCCCAGACUCCUACGGGAGGCAGCAGUAGGGAAUUUUCGGCAAUGGGGGAAACCCUGACCGAGCAACGCCGCGUGAAGGAAGAAGUAAUUCGUUAUGUAAACUUCUGUCAUAGAGGAAGAACGGUGGAUAUAGGGAAUGAUAUCCAAGUGACGGUACUCUAUAAGAAAGCCACGGCUAACUACGUGCCAGCAGCCGCGGUAAUACGUAGGUGGCGAGCGUUAUCCGGAAUUAUUGGGCGUAAAGAGGGAGCAGGCGGCACUAAGGGUCUGUGGUGAAAGAUCGAAGCUUAACUUCGGUAAGCCAUGGAAACCGUAGAGCUAGAGUGUGUGAGAGGAUCGUGGAAUUCCAUGUGUAGCGGUGAAAUGCGUAGAUAUAUGGAGGAACACCAGUGGCGAAGGCGACGAUCUGGCGCAUAACUGACGCUCAGUCCCGAAAGCGUGGGGAGCAAAUAGGAUUAGAUACCCUAGUAGUCCACGCCGUAAACGAU
rnacentral:rRNA from 1 species